AUCCUUUUCUUCCACAUUUUUUUCGUGCAUUCUUGUUCUCGUCAGAUCUUACCGUCUCUUCUUGUCAGAUCUUGCAUUUUUUUUUUGAAAAUAGACAACGACUUGGAUGAGCCCGUGAGGUGGGGUUUCAAAGAUUUCCACUUUAUUGAUGCAAGAAUUGGAUGUUGGGUACUAGCACUUGAAGAUAUAUGCUUUAGAUUGAUCCUUUUACGUGCGAGGUCUGAUAGGAGUUUCUUCCGUCAGGUAAUUUUUUUGUUCUUGUUUUUCUUGCAAAUUCUAUUUGUCUCUGUCUUUCAGUUUUGCUAUAUUUGUCAUUCUUUAUUGACUUCCUUUUAUUUUGUUUUCUUUUCUGGGUGCUGAGCUGU